rnacentral:rRNA from 1 species
GACGAAGGGGGGCUAGCGUUGUUCGGAAUUACUGGGCGUAAAGCGAGUGUAGGUGGUUGUCCAAGUUGGAUGUGAAAGCCUUGAGCUCAACUCAAGAAAAUGCAUUCAGGACUGGGCGGCUAGAGGACCGGAGAGGAUAGUGGAAUUCCCAGUGUAGUGGUGAAAAUACGUAGAGAUUGGGAAGAACACCAGUGGCGAAGGCGGACUGAUCGUGGAC